AUUGAACGCUGGCGGCAUGCUUUACACAUGCAAGUCGAACGGCAGCGCGGGCUUCGGCCUGGCGGCGAGUGGCGAACGGGUGAGUAAUACAUCGGAACGUGCCCAGUAGUGGGGGAUAGCCCGGGGAAAGCCGGAUUAAUACCGCAUACGACCUGAGGGUGAAAGCGGGGGAUCUUCGGACCUCGCGCUAUUGGAGCGGCCGAUGGCAGAUUAGCUAGUUGGUGGGGUAAAGGCCUACCAAGGCGACGAUCUGUAGCUGGUCUGAGAGGACGACCAGCCACACUGGGACUGAGACACGGCCCAGACUCCUACGGGAGGCAGCAGUGGGGAAUUUUGGACAAUGGGCGAAAGCCUGAUCCAGCAAUGCCGCGUGUGUGAUGAAGGCCUUCGGGUUGUAAAGCACUUUUGGCGGGAACGAAAAGGACUGUGCCAAUACCACGGUUCGAUGACGGUACCCGCAGAAUAAGCACCGGCUAACUACGUG
rnacentral:rRNA from 1 species